rnacentral:lncRNA from 1 species
AGAGAAAAUGAGGAGGAAAUAGUUGCGGAAAAUAUUGAUGGUGAAGUGGGGGAGUGGAGUGAAAAGGAAGAAGUUGAAAAGACCAAAACGAAUGGUGAAGUUGAAAAGAAAAAAAGUGUGGAGAUUGAGAAGAAUACAAGUGAUGAAGUAGUGGUGGAGCCAGUGAAAAAACCUAGAUGGAGGAGUUCGAGAAUUGCAAAAGGAAAGGAGGUAGUGAGCGCUACUCCAAUCCAAAACCUUC